UACGAAGGGGGCUAGCGUUGCUCGGAAUUACUGGGCGUAAAGGGAGCGUAGGCGGACAGUUAAGUCAGUGGUGAAAGCCCAGGGCUCAACCCUGGAAUUGCCUUUGAUACUGAUUGUCUUGAGUAUGGGAGAGGUAUGCGGAACUCCGAGUGUAGAGGUGAAAUUCGUAGAUAUUCGGAAGAACACCAGUGGCGAAGGCGGCUAACUGGCCCAUUACUGACGCUGAGGCUCGAAAGCGUGGGGAGCAAACAGG
rnacentral:rRNA from 1 species